rnacentral:rRNA from 1 species
GGUACCUAAAGAAUAAGCACCGGCUAACUACGUGCCAGCAGCCGCGGUAAUACGUAGGGUGCGAGCGUUAAUCGGAAUUACUGGGCGUAAAGCGAGCGCAGACGGUUAGUUAAGCAAGAUGUGAAAUCCCCGAGCUCAACUUGGGAACUGCGUUUUGAACUGGCUAGCUAGAGUGUGUCAGAGGGGGGUAGAAUUCCACGUGUAGCAGUGAAAUGCGUAGAGAUGUGGAGGAAUACCGAUGGCGAAGGCAGCCCCCUGGGAUAACACUGACGUUCAUGCUCGAAAGCGUGGGUAGCAAACAGGAUUAGAUACCCUGGUAGUCCACGCCCUAAACGAUGUCAAUUAGCUGUUGGGCAACUUGAUUGCUUAGUAGCGUAGCUAACGCGUGAAAUUGACCGCCUGGGGAGUACGGUCGCAAGAUUAAAACUCAAAGGAAUUGACGGGGACCCGCACAAGCGGUGGAUGAUGUGGAUUAAUUCGAUGCAACGCGAAGAACCUUACCUGGUCUUGACAUGUACGGAAGAGAGUAGAGAUACUCUUGUGCCUUCGGGAGCCGUAGCACAGGUGCUGCAUGGCUGUCGUCAGCUCGUGUCGUGAGAUGUUGGGUUAAGUCCCGCAACGAGCGCAACCCUUGUCAUUAGUUGCCAUCAUUAAGUUGGGCACUCUAAUGAGACUGCCGGUGACAAACCGGAGGAAGGUGGGGAUGACGUCAAGUCCUCAUGGCCCUUAUGACCAGGGCUUCACACGUCAUACAAUGGUCGGUACAGAGGGUAGCCAAGCCGCGAGGUGGAGCCAAUCCCAGAAAACCGAUCGUAGUCCGGAUUGCACUCUGCAACUCGAGUGCAUGAAGUCGGAAUCGCUAGUAAUCGCAGGUCAGCAUACUGCGGUGAAUACGUUCCCGGGUCUUGUACACACCGCCCGUCACACCAUGGGAGUGGGGGAUACCAGAAGUAGAUAGGGUAACCGCAAGGAGCCCGUU